UACGUAGGGUGCAAGCGUUAAUCGGAAUUACUGGGCGUAAAGCGCGCGCAGGCGGUCUUCCAAGUCAGUGGUGAAAGCCCGGAGCUCAACUCCGGAACUGCCAUUGAAACUGUUGGACUUGAGUACGAGAGAGGUGAGUGGAAUUCCCAGUGUAGAGGUGAAAUUCGUAGAUAUUGGGAAGAACACCGGUGGCGAAGGCGGCUCACUGGCUCGUAACUGACGCUCAGGCGCGACAGCGUGGGGAUCAAACAGG
rnacentral:rRNA from 1 species